rnacentral:rRNA from 1 species
GAUGAACGCUGGCGGCGUGCCUAAUACAUGCAAGUCGAGCGAACAGACGAGGAGCUUGCUCCUCUGACGUUAGCGGCGGACGGGUGAAUAACACGUGGAUAACCUACCUAUAAGACUGGGAUAACUUCGGGAAACCGGAGCUAAUACCGGAUAAUAUAUUGAACCGCAGGGUUCAAUAGUGAAAGACGGUUUUGCUGUCACUUAUAGAUGGAUCCGCGCCGCAUUAGCUAGUUGGUAAGGUAACAGCCUACCACGGCAACGAUGCGUAGCCGACCGCCGGGGGUGAUCGGCCACACUGGAGCUGAGACACGGUCCAGACUCCUACGGGAGGCAGCAGUAGGGAAUCUUCCGCAAUGGGCGAAAGCCUGACGGAGCAACGCCGCGUGAGUGAUGACGGUCUUCGGAUCGUAAAACUCUGUUAUUAGGGAAGAACAAAUGUGUAAGUAACUAUGCACGUCUUGACGGUAACUAAUCAGAAAGCCACGGCUAACUACGUG